rnacentral:pre_miRNA from 1 species
GAGACACCCCUCUGGGGCAAGACUUGCUUCAAUGGGGCUUUGGUGCUCACUGAGUCUUCCCCCUGAGUGUGUCUUA